rnacentral:rRNA from 1 species
AGUGAACGCUGGCGGCGUGCUUAACACAUGCAAGUCGAGCGAGAAACGGGUUUAGCUUGCUAAAUUGCAGUCUAAGUGGCGCACGGGUGAGUAAUGUAUAGGUAAUAUGCCUCUUACUAAGGGAUAACAAUUGGAAACGAUUGCUAAUACCUUAUAUGCCUUUAAUACGAAAGUAUGCAAGGGAAAGAUUUAUUGGUAAGAGAUUAGCCUGUAUGGUAUCAGCUUGUUGGUGAGGUAAUGGCUCACCAGGGCUAUGACGCCUAACUGGUUUGAGAGGAUGAACAGUCACACUGGAACUGAGACACGGUCCAGACUCCUACGGGAGGCAGCAGUGGGGAAUAUUGCACAAUGGACGAAAGUCUGAUGCAGCAACGCCGCGUGGAGGAUGACACAUUUCGGUGCGUAAACUCCUUUUAUAUAGGAAGAUAAUGACGGUACUAUAUGAAUAAGCACCGGCUAACUCCGUGCCAGCCGCCGCAGUAA